UCCUGGAAGAACAUCGCACCAGGUGCAAGGGAGAAUAAAUUCUGUUAGUAUGCAACAAGCGAAAGCUUCUGUACUUUGAGCUCUGAAGUGUGUGUUUAGGGUCUAAGCCCCUCUGAAACUUCAAGCUACCAAGUAGGAGGAGAGAGAAUUUGUAUUCAUUAAUUAGACAAACGAAUCGGAACCGGCUUGGAAACUGCAUCGAAGACUUCCCCACUUAUUGAUCGCGUUAUUGAUCACCUGGCCAGCCACCUUCACCUUCACCUUCACCUUGACAUUCGCAUGGGUAUCGGAAGCUGAAUU